CGGGGGCGAGGACGUCGCCGGCCGGUGCGCCCAGGGACAGCUGCGUCCUCGGGACAGCCACGCUCGUCCCCGUCCCACAGACGGGCUCGUCCCGCUUCCUUCCGCCGCUCUUGCAGGGCCCCGGUCGUCGCCCGUCCGCCUGGAUUUUCCGCGUCCGGGCGCCUCCCCAGGCCGAGGCGGAGUCCCUGCCCGCGGCACGGGGGGAGGGGUGCGGGCCAGCACGCGCACGGAGACGACCGUUUGGGGCGGCGGAGACCCAGGAAACCCAGCGGGGCCGUGUGGCGGUGGGGAAAGGCCCCCGGGGGGGCGACGUGGAGGAAGCGUGUCCCAGGCAGAGGGAAGAGCAAGUGCAAAGGCCCUGACGCUGGAGCUCGGCGUCCGGCCUACAGGGAAGGCAUCCGGCUCUGUGUGUGCAGGGAGGGGAAAGCUGAGGGGCAGAGAGAGGCCACCACGUGGAAUUUGGGGUUCGUUCUGUGUGGGAUGGGGGUCGGUCAUUGAAGAGGCUGAAUUGGGAGUUCCAAGGUCUGAUUUACAUUUUAGAGACUUCUCUCGGGCUCCUGUACAGACAGUGGGCUGUAGGAGGCACAGGAGGGCAAGCGCGGUGACCAGCUGGGUGGCGCUUUCUUCCAGGGGGUCUGGGUGAUGUGGAUAUACAAACCAGGGUUAUUUGUCAGCUCGGGCUGCUGUGGCAAAACACCACAGAUCAGGAGGCUUAAACAAGAAUUUAUCUUCUCACAGCUCUGGAGAUUGGAAGUGUCAGAGUUGGUUUCCGGGAGCGAAGUCAAGGACGUCGGAUGGGUCUGCUGUCUGGGAUCCCCAUCUCAACCCUGGUACCAUGGGGAAUACUAUGCCAAAGAAGACAAACUGAGUCACUACCUCCUUGAGCUUCCACUCCAUGGGAGGAGUUUUCAGGUUCUUCACUGAAUAUUACACUGGUCUGUUCUCUGAGGACCUAUUAAGUGUCCCAGGCUCUGUUCAAAGCACCUCAGGAUCCGAAGCUAAAUGAGAUGGGAUUCCUGCCCUCAACCAGCCUUCAGUCAGCCUCUGGGACUCGAGCCACCUGGAAUUGGUCCUUCUGGGAUCGUGGAUGGAGUCCAGAGAGUUCCAUUCAUCUGUUCAACAGACACGAGUGCCAGCUACAUUCAGGGCACUUCACUGGGACCCACCAUCCACCAGCUAUGGUUUCUACACUCCAAAUGCUUAAAAUAAAACCUGCUCUUUGAAGAUCCCACAAGGUGUGGAUUUGGGAAAUGGACUAUAGAAUAGGAAGGAGCAAAACCACAAGACAAUGUGAUCUCUUGGGAUAUAGGGUUUUAUUUUUAUUUCUUUUUUUUUUUUUUACCCAGCUCUUCACAACUGUAGUUUUUAGAUCGUUGUCUUUUUGUACGUGAGAAUGUCAGGACAUGUAAAUGGUAAACAAUGUAAAAUCAGAUGACUCACCACCAACAGUGCAAAUUAAAAGCUACUCCUUGCCUAAGUUAAAGGAAA